AAGCAACAAAUGCCCUGCUUCCAGGAAAAGCCUCUAAGCAUCAGGUAACACGAAAUCGUACCCCAAACCGACACAGGUGGUCAGGUAGAGAAUACCAAGGCGCUUGAGAGAACUCGGGUGAAGGAACUAGGCAAAAUGGUGCCGUAACUUCGGGAGAAGGCACGCUGACACGUAGGUGAAGUGAUUUACUCAUGGAGCUGAAGUCAGUCGAAGAUACCAGCUGGCUGCAACUGUUUAUUAAAAACACAGCACUGUGCAAACACGAAAGUGGACGUAUACGGUGUGACGCCUGCCCGGUGCCGGAAGGUUAAUUGAUGGGGUCAGCGUAAGCGAAGCUCCUGAUCGAAGCCCCGGUAAACGGCGGCCGUAACUAUAACGGUCCUAAGGUAGCGAAAUUCCUUGUCGGGUAAGUUCCGACCUGCACGAAUGGCGUAAUGAUGGCCAGGCUGUCUCCACCCGAGACUCAGUGAAAUUGAACUCGCUGUGAAGAUGCAGUGUACCCGCGGCAAGACGGAAAGACCCCGUGAACCUUUACUAUAGCUUGACACUGAACAUUGAGCCUUGAUGUGUAGGAUAGGUGGGAGGCUUUGAAGUGUGGACGCCAGUCUGCAUGGAGCCGACCUUGAAAUACCACCCUUUAAUGUUUGAUGUUCUAACGUGGACCCGUAAUCCGGGUUGCGGACAGUGUCUGGUGGGUAGUUUGACUGGGGCGGUCUCCUCCUAAAGAGUAACGGAGGAGCACGAAGGUUGGCUAAUCCUGGUCGGACAUCAGGAGGUUAGUGCAAUGGCAUAAGCCAGCUUGACUGCGAGCGUGACGGCGCGAGCAGGUGCGAAAGCAGGUCAUAGUGAUCCGGUGGUUCUGAAUGGAAGGGCCAUCGCUCAACGGAUAAAAGGUACUCCGGGGAUAACAGGCUGAUACCGCCCAAGAGUUCAUAUCGACGGCGGUGUUUGGCACCUCGAUGUCGGCUCAUCACAUCCUGGGGCUGAAGUAGGUCCCAAGGGUAUGGCUGUUCGCCAUUUAAAGUGGUACGCGAGCUGGGUUUAGAACGUCGUGAGACAGUUCGGUCCCUAUCUGCCGUGGGCGCUGGAGAACUGAGGGGGGCUGCUCCUAGUACGAGAGGACCGGAGUGGACGCAUCACUGGUGUUCGGGUUGUCAUGCCAAUGGCACUGCCCGGUAGCUAAAUGCGGAAGAGAUAAGUGCUGAAAGCAUCUAAGCACGAAACUUGCCCCGAGAUGAGUUCUCCCUGAGACUUAGAGUCUCCUGAAGGAACGUUGAAGACGACGACGUUGAUAGGCCGGGUGUGUAAGCGCAGCGAUGCGUUGAGCUAACCGGUACUAAUGAACCGUGAGGCUUAACCUUACAACGCCGAAG
rnacentral:rRNA from 1 species